GAUGAACGCUGGCGGCGUGCCUAAUACAUGCAAGUCGAGCGAACGGACGAGAAGCUUGCUUCUCUGAUGUUAGCGGCGGACGGGUGAGUAACACGUGGAUAACCUACCUAUAAGACUGGGAUAACUUCGGGAAACCGGAGCUAAUACCGGAUAAUAUUUUGAACCGCAUGGUUCAAAAGUGAAAGACGGUCUUGCUGUCACUUAUAGAUGGAUCCGCGCUGCAUUAGCUAGUUGGUAAGGUAACGGCUUACCAAGGCAACGAUGCAUAGCCGACCUGAGAGGGUGAUCGGCCACACUGGAACUGAGACACGGUCCAGACUCCUACGGGAGGCAGCAGUAGGGAAUCUUCCGCAAUGGGCGAAAGCCUGACGGAGCAACGCCGCGUGAGUGAUGAAGGUCUUCGGAUCGUAAAACUCUGUUAUUAGGGAAGAACAUAUGUGUAAGUAACUGUGCACAUCUUGACGGUACCUAAUCAGAAAGCCACGGCUAACUACGUGCCAGCAGCCGCGGUAAUACGUAGGUGGCAAGCGUUAUCCGGAAUUAUUGGGCGUAAAGCGCGCGUAGGCGGUUUUUUAAGUCUGAUGUGAAAGCCCACGGCUCAACCGUGGAGGGUCAUUGGAAACUGGAAAACUUGAGUGCAGAAGAGGAAAGUGGAAUUCCAUGUGUAGCGGCGAAAUGCGCAGAGAUAUGGAGGAACACCAGUGGCGAAGGCGACUUUCUGGUCUGUAACUGACGCUGAUGUGCGAAAGCGUGGGGAUCAAACAGGAUUAGAUACCCUGGUAGUCCACGCCGUAAACGAUGAGUGCUAAGUGUUAGGGGGUUUCCGCCCCUUAGUGCUGCAGCUAACACAUUAAGCACUCCGCCUGGGGAGUACGACCGCAAGGUUGAAACUCAAAGGAAUUGACGGGGACCCGCACAAGCGGUGGAGCAUGUGGUUUAAUUCGAAGCAACGCGAAGAACCUUACCAAAUCUUGACAUCCUUUGACAACUCUAGAGAUAGAGCUUUCCCCUUCGGGGGACAAAGUGACAGGUGGUGCAUGGUUGUCGUCAGCUCGUGUCGUGAGAUGUUGGGUUAAGUCCCGCAACGAGCGCAACCCUUAAGCUUAGUUGCCAUCAUUAAGUUGGGCACUCUAAGUUGACUGCCGGUGACAAACCGGAGGAAGGUGGGGAUGACGUCAAAUCAUCAUGCCCCUUAUGAUUUGGGCUACACACGUGCUACAAUGGACAAUACAAAGGGCAGCGAAACCGUGAGGUCAAGCAAAUCCCAUAAAGUUGUUCUCAGUUCGGAUUGUAGUCUGCAACUCGACUACAUGAAGCUGGAAUCGCUAGUAAUCGUAGAUCAGCAUGCUACGGUGAAUACGUUCCCGGGUCU
rnacentral:rRNA from 1 species